rnacentral:lncRNA from 1 species
GACCUAAGUCUGUGAACACAGACAGCAGGGAGAAGAGCCCAUUUUCUGGGUGAACAGUUCUGCUUGGACUGCUCGAUUCAGAAGCCCUAGUUUACUCACUCUGGGCAUUUCUUGGCCGAGAGUGCUGAAGUACAUGGUUACUCCAGGACAGUAACACAGCGUCCAUAAGUGACACUAACUCCAUCUCCUUUUUCAAACCAGUGCCUCCCUCAGCCCUACAGGUAGGCCAGCUGGCCUUGUUUCACAUAAAGCAGAAUCCGAAAGAUUCUUAUGAGUAACAGCAACUCUGGAUGGACUGAGCCAGUUAGCUUACAAAUUGAUAAGUUAAAUGCUUGACUGGCAUAAACAAGCUGGAUAUACCACAUCUCUAGGGCUUUCCUUGGGCAGGGAGGGAACUUUGGGCGGGAUGUAUGAAUGUCUUUUUAGGACAGAGCCUUGCUAUUGACUUUGAGUGGCAAUCCAAAGGAAGCAGGGAGUUGCCAUGCUUAAGAGGAACCUUCAAGAUAUUGAGAGAUGUUCAUUGAUAAGCUGGA